rnacentral:rRNA from 1 species
ACUCCUACGGGAGGCAGCAGUGAGGAAUAUUGGACAAUGGACGCAAGUCUGAUCCAGCCAUGCCGCGUGCAGGAAGACUGCCCUAUGGGUUGUAAACUGCUUUUAUUUGGGAAUAAACCCCUCUACGUGUAGAGGGCUGAAGGUACCAAAUGAAUAAGCACCGGCUAACUCCGUGCCAGCAGCCGCGGUAAUACGGAGGGUGCAAGCGUUAUCCGGAAUCAUUGGGUUUAAAGGUCCGCAGGCGGACGUAUAAGUCAGUGGUGAAAGCCUACAGCUUAACUGUAGAACUGCCAUUGAUACUGUAUGUCUUGAAUUCGGUCGAAGUGGGCGGAAUGUGUCAUGUAGCGGUGAAAAUGCAUAGAUAUGACACAGAACACCGAUAGCGAAGGCAGCUCACUAGGCCUGAAUUGACGCUCAGGGACG